rnacentral:rRNA from 1 species
UAUUUGGAGAGUUUGAUCCUGGCUCAGAUUGAACGCUGGCGGCAUGCCUAACACAUGCAAGUCGCACGCGAAAGGGGGCAACCCUGAGUAGAGUGGCGGACGGGUGAGUAACGCGUAGGAAUCUACCUCGUAGUGGGGGACAACCCGGCGAAAGCCGGGCUAAUACCGCAUACGAUCCAUGGAUGAAAGCAGGGGACCGCAAGGCCUUGCGCUAUGAGAUGAGCCUGCGUCGGAUUAGCUAGUUGGUGAGGUAAAGGCUCACCAAGGCGACGAUCCGUAGCUGGUUUGAGAGAACGACCAGCCACACUGGGACUGAGACACGGCCCAGACUCCUACGGGAGGCAGCAGUGGGGAAUAUUGGACAAUGGGGGCAACCCUGAUCCAGCAAUGCCGCGUGUGUGAAGA